rnacentral:rRNA from 1 species
UACAGAGGUCUCAACCGUUGUUCGGAUUCAUUGGGCGUAAAGGGUGCGUAGGCGGUCGUGCAAGUCGGAUGUGAAAUCUCAGGGCUCAACCCUGAAACUGCAUUCGAUACUGCGUGGCUAGAGUGCUGGAGAGGAGACUGGAAUUUACGGUGUAGCAGUGAAAUGCGUAGAUAUCGUAAGGAAGACCAGUGGCGAAGGCGAGUCUCUGGACAGCAACUGACGCUGAGGCACGAAGGCCAGGGGGAGCAAACGGGG